UACAGAGGGGGCAAGCGUUGUUCGGAAUUAUUGGGCGUAAAGGGUGCGUAGGCGGUGCGGUAAGUCUUCUGUGAAAUCUACGGGCUCAACUCGUAGUCUGCAGGCGAAACUGCCGUGCUGGAGUGUGGGAGAGGUGCGUGGAAUUCCUGGUGUAGCGGUGAGAUGCGUAGAUAUCAGGAGGAACACCGGUGGCGAAGGCGGGUCUCUGGGCCGAUACUGACGCUGAGGAGCGAAAGCGUGGGGAGCGAACAGG
rnacentral:rRNA from 1 species